UUUUAAGUUCUUUGUAGUAAAAGGCAUAUCUUCAUCCUGCACGGCUCAUACACCAUCACCCCAGAGAACAGGCACAGAGGUGUCAUGGCUUAUGGAAGCUCAUGUGUCUGGGGUCACGGAAGAGGUGGCCAAGGAAAGGCUCAGUCCUCUCUGCUCCCCCCCCUUCUGUGCCCAAAUGUGACAAAACCAAAGUAACUGGAGGCAGGAAAUGAAUCGAGCAGAGUUAUGUCUAUGUAGGUAGAGACAGGAAACUGCAGGAUAGCUUCCAUGGCAGUUGAGAUCAGUGGGAUAACUGCUCUGAACGUGGGAUAUGCCUAAAAUGACAGAGUGAAUGUAAGAGCAUCUUCUGUCACAGCUGGAUAGUAAAGAUAAAUCUUUGAUGUUUAUUGAGCAUUAAAACUACAGUGAAAGCUCCAUACAGAAAGCAUUGAGGCAAUUAAUAUUCCUGCUUUCCUCUGCAUGGAAUGGAGUUCAGUGGUUUCCA